GACGAACGCUGGCGGCGUGCUUAACACAUGCAAGUCGAACGGAAAGGCCCUGCUUUUGUGGGGUGCUCGAGUGGCGAACGGGUGAGUAACACGUGAGUAACCUGCCCUUGACUUUGGGAUAACUUCAGGAAACUGGGGCUAAUACCGGAUAGGAGCUCCUGCUGCAUGGUGUGGGUUGGAAAGUUUCGGCGGUUGGGGAUGGACUCGCGGCUUAUCAGCUUGUUGGUGGGGUAGUGGCUUACCAAGGCUUUGACGGGUAGCCGGCCUGAGAGGGUGACCGGCCAAAUUGGGACUGAGAUACGGCCCAGACUCCUACGGGAGGCAGCAGUGGGGAAUAUUGCAAAAUGGGCGGAAGCCUGAUGCAGCAACGCCGCGUGCGGGAUGACGGCCUUCGGGUUGUAAACCGCUUUCGCCUGUGACGAAGCGUGAGUGACGGUAAUGGGUAAAGAAGCACCGGCUAACUACGUG
rnacentral:rRNA from 1 species